rnacentral:rRNA from 1 species
GACGAACGCUGGCGGCGUGCUUAACACAUGCAAGUCGAACGGAAAGGCCCUGCAUUUGUGGGGUGCUCGAGUGACGAACGGGUGUGUAACACGUGAGUAACCUGCCCUUGACUUUGGGAUAACUUCAGGAAACUGGGGCUAAUACCGGGUAGGAGCUCCUGCAGCAUGGUGGGGGUUGGAAAGAUGCGGCGGUUGGGGAUGCACUCGCGGCUUAUCAGCUUGUUGGUGGGGUAGUGGCUUACCAAUGCUUUGACGGGUAGCCGGACUGAGAGGGUGACCGGCCACAUUGGGCCUGAGAAGGCGGCAAGACUCAUACGGGGGGCAGCGGUGGGAAAUUUUGCGCGAUGGGCGGAAGCCUGAUGGAGCAACGCCGCGUGCUGGAUGACGGCCGUCGGGGUGGAAACCUCGUUCGCCUGUGACGAAGCGUGAGUGACGGUAAUGAGUAAAGAAGGGACGGCUAACUACGUG